rnacentral:rRNA from 1 species
GCUAACUAGGUGCCAGCAGCUGAGUGAAUGAGGAGGGUUGGAGCGGUAAUCGGAAUUACUGUGCUUGAAGCGGGUGUUGUGGUUGCAGUAAGAUGGGUGGGAACUCACCGGGCUUAACCUGGGAACUGCUUUCAUAACUGCUGAGGUAGAGUACGGUAGAGGGUAGUGGAAUUUCCUGUGUAGCGGUGAAAUGCGUAGAUAUAGGAAGGAACACCAGUGGCGAAGGCGACUACCUGGACUGAUACUGACACUGAGGUGCGAAAGCGUGGGGAGCAAACAGGAUUAGAUACCCGAGUCGUC